rnacentral:rRNA from 1 species
UACGGAGGGUGCGAGCGUUGUCCGGAAUCACUGGGCGUAAAGCGCACGUAGGCGGACUCUUAAGUCGGUGGUGAAAUCCCUCGGCCUAACCGAGGAACUGCCUUUGAAACUGCUUGGCUUGAGGCCGGGAGAGGGUAGCGGAAUUCCCAGUGUAGCGGUGAAAUGCGUAGAUAUUGGGAGGAACACCAGUGGCGAAGGCGGCUACCUGGACCGGUUCUGACGCUGAGGCGCGAAAGCGUGGGGAGCAAACAGG